AAUUGUUAAUAAAAGCAAUUUUUUUUUAUAAAUGAUCAGUUUUCACCUCUAAUAUUUGCCUCAUCAUCAAAUUCCCCAUCAUAUCCAAUUCUAUCAAAUCACCGUGAUGAAUCAAACAAUUUAGAAAGUUUCAAGAACAUAGGAAAACCAAUGAUUUACUCAAUAAAUUGUUGAUAACCAGAUCAGAAGAUGAUGUUUCGAUACCACAAAAUUUCAACAGAGAACAUUUUACUAUUACUUUUGCUUACUUGCUUACUGUUCCUUUAAAUGACAUUCAACAUUUAGCAAAAUCAUUAAAACUAGCUGCAUCAAGACAUUAAUUAAUUAUUAAACGGCUUAAGCAAUGCGGUUGUUCUACAAUUGAAGAUACUUCUGAUUUAAUGCUUCAAUUAUUGUUUACUGACUUAUGUGGCUCCUUGUAUAAUUGUGAGGGAAAAAUUAAAAUAAAUUUAUUUUUAUGGAUCCAACAAUUCAUGGCAUUAUUAUUGAUACAGCCUUGUUUAAGCAUCUAGAAGAUACAGAACAAAAAGUAGUAAGAAAAAUAAAAAAAAUUGUUUGAGGUUAGCACCAACAAGAAUUAAUAGUAAAAUAGGCCAAAAAUAUCACAAAACAAAAACAUAAUUAUAUAUUAUUAGCUAUUAUUUACUUAAAUUAAAGUAAAAAGACAAAAUAUCAAUUAGAUAUUUAUAUUUUAUACUAAUAUAAAUGUGAUAGAUACUAUUUUAUAACAUUAAUUUUGAAUAC